rnacentral:rRNA from 1 species
GAUGAACGCUAACAGAAUGCUUAACACAUGCAAGUCGACUGGAAUUCUUCUUCGGAAGUUAGUACGGUGGCGGACGGGUGAGUAACGCGUAGGAAUCUACCUGAUAGUUGGGGAUAGCCCAGGGAAACUUGGAUUAAUACCGAAUACGCUCUACGGAGGAAAGGAGGGGAUCUUUUGACCUUUCGCUAUCAGAUGAGCCUGCGUGAGAUUAGCUAGUUGGUGAGGUAAUGGCUCACCAAGGCGACGAUCUCUAGCUGGUCUGAGAGGAUGAUCAGCCACACUGGAACUGAGACACGGUCCAG